UAAGGACUAUUUUUGUCAUUUUCUCUGAUUAUUUCAGUUGAGAGUUGGGGAAGCAGAAUCUCGAUAAAAUUCCUCCAUAGUUAGAUUCCUUUAAGUACCUCAAACAUAAGUCUUGUCUUUAAGUACUAGGUUUAUGCUUUUUUUCCUCCUCUGUUCAAACCCUUUUCUCCAUUUUCAACACAACAAGUUCUGCUAAUUACUGUUUUUCAGUACAAAUCAAAGAUUAAGGAGAAUCUUAUAACACUGCAACUCCUUUUAGGUUAGUCUGAAGUUCUCACAGACAAAUGUCUAAUUGUACUUGAUAGAGCUAUAAAGGCGAAGUUAAGAGUGCUAACGGGGGCCAAGCGCACAAGAUCACAGGGUGAAAGUGACGACAGGAAAAAGUUUUCUAUUCCACCCGAUUAUGAAUCGUUAACGUCCUUCACACUAAAGAAGGUUGAAAAUAGUCAGGAAGGUCCUAGCCAGGUGCUUCUACUUCAACAAUUAUUAGCACAGGAAAGCUUAAGAGUCCUGUUAGGCGUAGGCCUUGGAUACUUGAUGAUCAUGUUGAUCACAUGGAAGAGGAUCCUGAAUGUGAAGCUGAUAAGUCAAAUAAUUUUAAAGAAGGCCUCAAAAGGAAGAACGGCAUGAGACGUUCCCAGAUGUCAGCCCAAUCUUUAGACGGGCUGAAAUGGGCCAAGCUAAUAAAUGGGCGGGUUGGGUCGGUCAUGUUUUCAUGGGCUAAUUUUGCCACCCUUAAUCAAAUCAUAUGUUCUGGCAAGUGGGCUUGAAUACGGCUCAAAGAUGACUUUCUUUUCUGUUUUUCUAUGGGUAUUCUCUUCUUCAUUUGAUUGUGUCGUGCAUCACUUGGAAGUUAAGGGCUUAUCUGGCUGCAUCUUCGCUUGUAGUGCCUGGUCAAAGAAUGUGGCAGCAGCAUGUACUGUUUUUCUGUGUAAUUGUUGGCAUGUAGUGCUGCUAGUGAGAAGUAAUGAUCUUGUCAUUUGAUUGUAUCUUGGUCCAUUUGAUUGUGGAUAAAUAUACCCCUGCCGAAUACAAACUUUUAUUUUUUUUUGUUCUAAAAAAUUUUCCUAUGGAAUGUGAUUCUUUUUGUUCUUUUUUUUGCAUACCUUAACUUUUGUGCAGUUGGACUUGGAUUAUCAAACAGAAAAUUGUUCUAGUUUUAUUAAUGAUGAGGAAAACCUUUUUACUGGUUGAAGAUCAAA